GCACAAUGGGGGAAACCCUGAUGCAGCGACGCCGCGUGAGUGAAGAAGUAUUUCGGUAUGUAAAGCUCUAUCAGCAGGGAAGAAAAUGACGGUACCUGAGUAAGAAGCCCCGGCUAACUACGUGCCAGCAGCCGCGGUAAUACGUAGGGGGCAAGCGUUAUCCGGAUUUACUGGGUGUAAAGGGAGCGUAGACGGUGAAGCAAGUCUGGAGUGAAAA
rnacentral:rRNA from 1 species